UGUGACCUCAAAUCAGGUAGGACUACCCGCUGAACUUAAGCAUAUCAAUAAGCGGAGGAAAAGAAACUAACAAGGAUUCCCCUAGUAACUGCGAGUGAAGCGGGAAAAGCUCAAAUUUAAAAUCUGGCAGUCUUUUGGCUGUCCGAGUUGUAAUCUAGAGAAGUGUUAUCCGCGCUGGACCAUGUACAAGUCUCCUGGAAUGGAGCAUCAUAGAGGGUGAGAAUCCCGUCUUUGACAUGGACUUCCAGGGCUUUGUGAUGCGCUCUCAAAGAGUCGAGUUGUUUGGGAAUGCAGCUCAAAAUGGGUGGUAAAUUCCAUCUAAAGCUAAAUAUUGGCGAGAGACCGAUAGCGAACAAGUACCGUGAGGGAAAGAUGAAAAGAACUUUGGAAAGAGAGUUAAACAGUACGUGAAAUUGCUGAAAGGGAAACGCUUGAAGUCAGUCGCGUCGUCCAGGGAUCAACCUUGCUUUUGCUUGGUGCACUUCCUGGUUUGAUGGGUCAGCAUCAAUUUUGACUAUUGGAAAAAGGUUAAGGGAAUGUGGCAUCUUUGGAUGUGUUUAUAGCCCUUGGUCACAUACAAUGGUUGGGAUUGAGGAACUCAGCACGCCGCAAGGCCGGG
rnacentral:rRNA from 1 species